AGUAGGGAGGAAGGCAGGUUCGUUAAUAGCGGCAUUGUUUGACGUUACCUACAGAAGAAGCCCCGGCUAACUCCGUGCCAGCAGCCGCGGUAAUACGGAGGGUGCGAGCGUUAAUCGGAAUUACUGGGCGUAAAGCGCAUGCAGGCGGUCUGUUAAGCAAGAUGUGAAAGCCCGGGGCUCAACCUCGGAACAGCAUUUUGAACUGGCAGACUAGAGUCUUGUAGAGGGGGGUAGAAUUUCAGGUGUAGCGGUGAAAUGCGUAGAGAUCUGAAGGAAUACCGGUGGCGAAGGCGGCCCCCUGGACAAAGACUGACGCUCAGAUGCGAAAGCGUGGGGAGCAAACAGGAUUAGAUACCCUGGUAGUCCACGCCGUAAACGAUGUCUACUUGGAGGUUGUGGCCUUGAGCCGUGGCUUUCGGAGCUAACGCGUUAAGUAGACCGCCUGGGGAGUACGGUCGCAAGAUUAAAACUCAAAUGAAUUGACGGGGGCCCGCACAAGCGGUGGAGCAUGUGGUUUAAUUCGAUGCAACGCGAAGAACC
rnacentral:rRNA from 1 species